rnacentral:sRNA from 1 species
AGUGGCUCAUUCACCUUCUUAUGUCAGCCCCUUCGGGACGUGCUACAUAAACUUCGAAUGACGCACAACAAGGUGCCUGCCGUCCAGCUUCUGAUAACAGCAUUGCUUUAUCAGCCAUCGGGCGAAACGUCGAGUUAGGCACCGCCUU